AUUGUAUAACUCGUUCUGCCGAUUUGUGCUGCAAUAUAAUUACAGGACCCACCAUUGUGACAUGCUAAAAGAACUAAACUGGCUGUCGCUGGAAUCCAGACGCACCCUUCAUCUUUCCAGCCUUGUGUUUAAGAGCUUUUCCCGGGAAGCUCCCACCCUACCUGAGCAGAAUGCUCUCCCCAGCUGUUCCCACCUCCUAUAACCUCUGAUCCAGUACCAGCACUUUAUUUAG